UAGGGAAUCUUCCACAAUGGGCGAAAGCCUGAUGGAGCAACGCCGCGUGUGUGAUGAAGGGUUUCGGCUCGUAAAACACUGUUGUAAGAGAAGAAUGACAUUGAGAGUAACUGUUCAAUGUGUGACGGUAUCUUACCAGAAAGAAGCCCCGGCUAACUCCGUGCCAG
rnacentral:rRNA from 1 species